rnacentral:rRNA from 1 species
AUGGACCCCACAAGGGACGCAGCUGCUGGCUCUGCGCCCCAGAGAGCCAUGCAUGCGCCAUUGGUUUCGUCGUCCACCGCUCCUCCCCGUGUUCCAGAGUACCUUGUGCCGGGCGCUGUCAAGCCUGUUCUCAACUACUCUAUCCAGACCGGGGAGGAGUUUGCCCUCGAGUUCAUGAGGGACCGCGCCAUGUCCCAGAAGAUCCUGGCCACUGGUACGUCCGGAGACCAGAACGCCGCGACAAGCGGUUACAUGGACUUGAGAGGGAUGCUUGGUGCCAGCCACACGGCAUCAGAAACUGGUCCUGAUAUAUUCAUGCUCCAACCUAUUGUUGAUCCGCGGCACAAGGAGCCCGAGAGAAAACCUGUUGCUCAGGUUCAGAAUAGGAGCAGGCACUCGUCGACCAGGUCGGUGCCGCGAGCUCUGUCAGGUGGUGAUGGCAGCAGUCGGGGACUGUCUCAUGGCUAUGCUUCCUCUGAUGCUUCGGAUGCCUCAAAGAGAAUCAAGUUCCUGUGCAGCUUUGGGGGCAAAAUCUUGCCCCGGCCCAGUGACGGGAAGCUUAGGUAUGUUGGUGGUGAGACGCGCAUAAUUCGAAUCAGCAAGGACAUUUCCUGGCAGGAGCUCAGACAAAAGACGUCUGCCAUCUUCAACCAGCCCCACAUCAUCAAGUACCAGCUCCCUGGUGAAGACCUCGAUUCUUUGAUUUCGGUGUCGGGCGACGAGGAUUUGACAAACAUGAUGGAUGAGUUUGCCAUGAUUGAAAGUGAAGGAGGUUCUCAGAAGCUCCGUGUUUUUCUGUUUUCCUCGCUCGAUUUUGACGAUAACCUGGGUAGCAUGGAUGGUGAUUCUGAGCUCCAUUAUGUUGUUGCUGUCAAUGGAAUAGAUGUAGGAUCAGGGAAGCCUUCAAGCGGCCAUGGUUUAGCAAGCACAUCCGUGAGUAUGAUGGAUCAGUUCAUUAAUCUCAAUAACGAUAAUGAUCAGUCAAACCCAAACCAAGGCAUGUCAGAUUUUCAUGGUAUGCGUGGGCCAACUUUGGUGCCUGCUGCUACUGUACCAACACCAACACCUCCAAGCUUAUCCAGUGAUUACACUGCAAAUUUGCAAUCUUACCAAGGGCAGGAAAUGCUGUACGCUCAGAGCUCUAGAGACAAUUUCUAUGACACUGAGAGACGCAUCUCUAUGCCUCUAUCUGCGCCCUCAGAUUAUGGAGUGCCCUCUCAGUAUGCGCCACAUUCUGGGCCUGCAUCUCUGGCAACUCCUGACCAGCGGUCUUAUCAGGAUGGCUUCAUGAUGCAAGGUUCUAUAAAUGAUGCAAAGCAGGCUUCCAAGAACACGCUGCAUCAGAAAAGUGAAGUGGACUACUUCCAAACCCUUGAGAAUUUGAGUGCUCCUGUGCUGCACAAUGAUCUGUCUGUUUCAAAUAGUAUGCAUUUGGAAGUGCCCUCUGCUUCUUCGGCUCAAGAAGGCCGGACAUCUUUUCUUCAACCAAGUGACAGUGGAAAGAGCCUAGAGCCUAGAGAGUUAAAUGAAGAUGACCGCCAGUCCUCUGGUGGAGCUUUUGCAUCUGGAUGUUCUGAAUUUGAGUCUGACAUGACCGAUCAUGGGUUCACGGAUCCCCAACCUGGUUCUGGGCGAACCUUCCAUUCUGAACGAAUCCCUCGGGAGCAAAUGGAAUCCAUGAAUCGGUUGUCAAAAUCUGAUGAUUCAGGUGCUCAGUUUCUAAUACCUCAGUCUCAGUCUGGUGUGGCUAGAGAAUCCAUUGCAGAGGCUGCUGAUUCUGUUGAAGGAGCUGAAAAUUCAAAUUCAGGGGCCCCAUCACUGAACCUGAAUGAACCAUCUAGCGAUGAUUCCCUAGCACAGUUUGAGAGAAACUUUGCCAAAGCUGUACCACGGCCGAGUCAAUUUGGUAUAAUCAUACCUUCAGAAGAAUCAGAUGCUAAAAUGAUGUCUGAAAAUCCUGUGGUUGAACAGCAACAGGCCAGUGAAAAGAAGGCAGUGGAUGUCCCUAACAUCAUGAAUUCAGUUGAAAAGACUCCAGCUAAAGGUAAUUUGAAAGCCACUACCACCAAUAGAAUGCAAAGUACUAAGAAGCAGCUGGGAAGUGAUGCUGCCAUGGCACGUCGUGUUAGUUGGGAGGCUCCCAAGCCCGCGCCCCCCAAUGAUGUUAAGCAUGAUCCAGCUGUGCCAUCGUCCACCAGCACUGCUGGAGCUGUUGCAGAUAGUGCAUCUGCAGCUGCUAACUCGGAGAACAGAGAUUUUUUUGUUGAUAUCAAUGACCGCUUCCCCCCUGAUAUUCUUUCCGAUUUCUUUGCAAAGGCGAAAGAUGCAGCACAGUCAUCAACUCCUUUUAAUGAUCCUAUUCUUAGCUUGAACAUGCCAAACUAUGAGCCUAAGAACUGGUCAUUCUUCAGAAAUCUUGCAAAGGAUGAGUUCCCAAGCAAGAGUAAUGACCAACAAGGCCUGGCAAAGAUUGACGAAGGGAUGUAUGCAUUCGCAGGAGCAGAUAAUGAUGCAAUCAGCAUGAAGGGUUUGAAUCCUACCUACAAUUUUGAUGCUGAGAAGAAGGCAGAGCCUUCCAUCAUAGUUGCUGACGUUAGCAGCAUGCCUCCAGCUUAUGCCACAUCACAUAUUGACCAUCUCCCAAAGAUGGAGAGGAGUGUUGAAGCAUUUCAAGUUGACAAUCCAUAUCAACCUGUGGCAGACAAUACGAAUCUGCCUGCUCCAGAUUUCGAGGAACCAAAGUUCGAAGAGGACAGAACUGCUGCGCAAGUCAUGGAUGCUUCUCUUCGAGAUUCUGAUUUUGAACACUUGCAGAUUAUCAAGAAUGAAGAUCUUGAGGAGCUUAGGGAACUUGGUUCUGGUACUUUUGGAACUGUUUACCAUGGGAAAUGGAGAGGAACUGAUGUGGCUAUCAAGCGCAUCAAGAAAAGCUGUUUUACAGGACGAUCAUCUGAGCAAGAAAGGCUGGCACAAGAAUUCUGGCGAGAAGCUGAGAUUCUGUCAAAGCUUCAUCACCCAAACGUCGUAGCGUUCUAUGGUGUGGUGAAGGACGGGCCGGGCGGUACCCUGGCGACUCUGACUGAGUUCAUGGUUAAUGGUUCUCUUCGGCAUGUCUUGCAGCGGAAGGACAAGUGUCCUGAUCUCCGCAAGCGGCUGAUCAUAGCGAUGGAUGCGGCGUUCGGGAUGGAGUAUCUGCACUCGAAGAACAUUGUGCAUUUCGACCUGAAGUGCGAUAACCUGCUGGUCAACCUCAGGGACCACGCACGCCCUAUCUGCAAAGUGGGUGAUUUUGGGCUGUCCAAAAUCAAGAGGAACACCCUGGUUUCGGGCGGCGUGAGGGGGACACUCCCCUGGAUGGCCCCGGAAUUACUCAACGGGAGUAGCAGCAAGGUGUCUGAGAAGGUGGAUGUGUUCUCGUUCGGUAUCGUCUUGUGGGAGAUCCUGACCGGGGAGGAGCCCUACGCCAACAUGCACUAUGGCGCAAUAAUAGGUGGCAUCGUGAACAACACGCUGCGGCCGCCGGUGCCGGCCAACUGUGGGCCGGAGUGGAGGAGGCUGAUGGAGCAGUGCUGGUCGCCGGACCCGUCGCAGCGGCCGGCCUUCACGGAGAUUGCGGCGCGGCUGCGGUCCAUGUCGGCCGCGGCCAACCAGCAGGCCAAGGCAGCUGCGGCGGCCAAGUAG